UACGUAGGGGGCAAGCGUUGUCCGGAAUCAUUGGGCGUAAAGAGCGUGUAGGCGGCCCGAUAAGUCCGCUGUGAAAGUCCAGGGCUCAACCCUGGAAUGCCAGUGGAAACUGUCGGGCUAGAGUCCGGAAGAGGUGAGUGGAAUUCCUGGUGUAGCGGUGAAAUGCGCAGAUAUCAGGAGGAACACCGAUGGCGAAGGCAGCUCACUGGGACGGUACUGACGCUGAGACGCGAAAGCGUGGGGAGCAAACGGG
rnacentral:rRNA from 1 species